GUGCCGCUUCGCUCCCAAAACGCAUUCUCAUCUUACACGGUCGCCUCUUGGGUCCGUUCGUACCAUAUUUUGAAUUCACUUAAAUACCGGUUGAAUUAAAUGAUGUCUUGGAGAUUUAUUUUUUAAAAUGUUUUGCCAAUGACGCAAUGAUUAACUGUAAACAAAUGAUAGCGAUGUAAACAACUUCAUGUCAUCGUACAGCUUUCAAAAACAGGUAAACUUGUGACCCGUAUCAGAGACAUAUAUGUGUAUAUAUGUCUCUGCCCGUAUAGUAUGCUUUAAAAGUAUCGGGGCGGGUUUAUUUUCAUGCUAUAAUCCGUUUGGCGUUUUAUAACAGUUUGUUUCUGUCAUAAAUCUAUUUAAAACUUGAAAUAUCUUUAUUUCCAAGUAUUUUUAGGAGUUUAUUCCCGAGUAUGCGAUAUAUUUUUCCACUGCAAAAUUUUGAUAAUUAUAGUUAAAUAUUUUUUAUUUUCCCAAAACAAAUUUUCUAACAGACUUAAUACUUGACAGGCACACCUAACAUUUUCAUUUAAAGAUUUGUUUACCUGCACGAAAAUCAUCUGAUAAUUUUUUCUCGUAUCACAAUUCCAUGAUUUCCGGAACACUAGACUAAGUCCUAUAAUCUAAGACCUCGGGGCCAAUGUUUUCUAUUUUUAUGAUACUUUUUUAUUACUUAUUUUGCUGAAUUGUUAUUUUGUUGAUUUGCAAUUUUCUGUUGUAUCUAUCAAUAUGUCAACCGAGUUCAUAUUAAAAAAAAAGAAAUAUCAGCAUUAAAACUAAAAUAAUUGAAUCAGAGCACUGAGUGUUAUUAAAAUAGACUAAUGGAUCCAGCAACUUAUUUCACUAAAAUGAUUAUUUGUUUUCCUGCAGAAAUAAAAC
rnacentral:lncRNA from 1 species